AGACACAUGGAAGGCAGCUGUGUAGGUGAACACUGCAGCUCACACCUGCCCUGUGUCCUCCGUGGGUGACAUCCAGCUGUCCACACCUUAAGCCCUGAUGUCUGAGGGUUCUCUAGAUGUCUGGGGACGGUUCCUAUCCAGCCUGUGCCCCUGUGCUCUGGUGAAUUUCCCAUCCUCCCUUGUGGCGAAAAUGAAGUCAUGUGACAAGCAAAGCACCCCACUGGAACGCUAACCUAGCUUCUUCAGCCUCUGAUGUGGACUGAAGACCAACAACCGUCCAGAAAACUUCCAGCCUGCUGACACCAGGCUAGGGCUACUGAGACCUCCAGGCCCUGGGUACUGCAUCCCAGAGAGCCCAACAUGCAGGCAGUUGUUGGGCAACAGGGCUGUACCAUUUCAACCAAUGUUUGUUGGUUCUCUACAUAGUCCAUAUCCUGAGUUCUACACCCCCAUAUUCAACCAGCUAUGGCUGCAGUCAGCAGCACACCUCAAUCACAAACUGGCAUCUCCCGCCAGCGCCUGACAAACAGGAGAUCAGUGCUGGUUCCCCGAGGCUCGCAGCACCUAGAGAAACCUGAAGUUUUCCAGACCGCCCCGCUGUCAUGGCAACAGCAGGAGAAACAAACAAAGCUCACAUCAAGCGACUGAACACAAAGCCAUACCAUUAUUUUAAUAAUCGGCAAUGGCCACGCGGGGCUGAGAGCAGCAGGCUUUCAGGGCACUGCCGCCAACGUGUCUCUCUCUUGAGAUGUCUUGAAGUGCUCACCGACACGUGUGGGCCUUGGCACUCAGAUCAUGCCUCCAGCUUGGAGUCCCCUCUUGUGUAGACCCUUACUGCCUACAGUGGUCACCAACUCGUGGGCUUGGGAAGCCAGGUGGCCAGAUGGUUAGAGGCUCCAGCCUCAGGCCAAGCAGCCCUGGGUGCAAAUCCAAACCCUGCACCUUCCAAGCUGGUGAUGGAAGAAAUGGCAGUACUGGUACAAUUACAUCUCCCUGCUGAACCUCUGUUUACAUGGUGAAGAUCUACUUGGGGAGUCAUUCAAAUGUUAACCAGGCUUUAUUGAAAACCUGCUGGAGCUUG